rnacentral:rRNA from 1 species
GAUGAACGCUGGCGGCGUGCCUAAUACAUGCAAGUCGAGCGAAUGGAUUAAGAGCUUGCUCUUAUGAAGUUAGCGGCGGACGGGUGAGUAACACGUGGGUAACCUGCCCAUAAGACUGGGAUAACUCCGGGAAACCGGGGCUAAUACCGGAUAACAUUUUGAACCGCAUGGUUCGAAAUUGAAAGGCGGCUUCGGCUGUCACUUAUGGAUGGACCCGCGUCGCAUUAGCUAGUUGGUGAGGUAACGGCUCACCAAGGCAACGAUGCGUAGCCGACCUGGGAGGGUUGUCGGCCACACGGGGACGAAGACACCGCCAAGACGCCGACGGGAGGCAGCAGUAGGGAAUCUUCAGCAAUGGACGCAAGUCUGACGGAGCAACGCCGCGUGAGUGAUGAAUGCUUUCGGGUCGUAAAACUCUGUUGUUAGGGAAGAACAAGUGCUAGUUGAAUAAGCUGGCACCUUGACGGUACCUAACCAGAAAGCCACGGCUAACUACGUGCCGGCCGCCGCCGUAA